GACAGUGGAUGCAAGCGUUAUCCGGAAUGAUUGGGCGUAAAGCGUCUGUAGGUGGCUUUUUAAGUCCGCUGUCAAAUCCCAGGGCUCAACCCUAGAUAGGCGGUGGAAACUACCAAGCUGGAGUACGGUAGGGGCAGAGGGAAUUUCCGGUGGAGCGGUGAAAUGCAUUGAGAUCGGAAAGAACACCAACGGCGAAAGUAGUCUCUUGGGCCGACACUGACACUGAGAGACGAAAGCUAGGGGAGCAAAUGGG
rnacentral:rRNA from 1 species